GAGGGAAACAACCCAGACCGCCAGCUAAGGUCCCAAAGUCAUGGUUAAGUGGGAAACGAUGUGGGAAGGCCCAGACAGCCAGGAUGUUGGCUUAGAAGCAGCCAUCAUUUAAAGAAAGCGUAAUAGCUCACUGGUCGAGUCGGCCUGCGCGGAAGAUGUAACGGGGCUAAACCAUGCACCGAAGCUGCGGCAGCGACGCUUAUGCGUUGUUGGGUAGGGGAGCGUUCUGUAAGCCUGUGAAGGUGUGCUGUGAGGCAUGCUGGAGGUAUCAGAAGUGCGAAUGCUGACAUAAGUAACGAUAAAGCGGGUGAAAAGCCCGCUCGCCGGAAGACCAAGGGUUCCUGUCCAACGUUAAUCGGGGCAGGGUGAGUCGACCCCUAAGGCGAGGCCGAAAGGCGUAGUCGAUGGGAAACAGGUUAAUAUUCCUGUACUUGGUGUUACUGCGAAGGGGGGACGGAGAAGGCUAUGUUGGCCGGGCGACGGUUGUCCCGGUUUAAGCGUGUAGGCUGGUUUUCCAGGCAAAUCCGGAAAAUCAAGGCUGAGGCGUGAUGACGAGGCACUACGGUGCUGAAGCAACAAAUGCCCUGCUUCCAGGAAAAGCCUCUAAGCAUCAGGUAACAUCAAAUCGUACCCCAAACCGACACAGGUGGUCAGGUAGAGAAUACCAAGGCGCUUGAGAGAACUCGGGUGAAGGAACUAGGCAAAAUGGUGCCGUAACUUCGGGAGAAGGCACGCUGAUAUGUAGGUGAAGUCCCUCGCGGAUGGAGCUGAAAUCAGUCGAAGAUACCAGCUGGCUGCAACUGUUUAUUAAAAACACAGCACUGUGCAAACACGAAAGUGGACGUAUACGGUGUGACGCCUGCCCGGUGCCGGAAGGUUAAUUGAUGGGGUCAGCGCAAGCGAAGCUCUUGAUCGAAGCCCCGGUAAACGGCGGCCGUAACUAUAACGGUCCUAAGGUAGCGAAAUUCCUUGUCGGGUAAGUUCCGACCUGCACGAAUGGCGUAAUGAUGGCCAGGCUGUCUCCACCCGAGACUCAGUGAAAUUGAACUCGCUGUGAAGAUGCAGUGUACCCGCGGCAAGACGGAAAGACCCCGUGAACCUUUACUAUAGCUUGACACUGAACAUUGAGCCUUGAUGUGUAGGAUAGGUGGGAGGCUUAGAAGUGUGGACGCCAGUCUGCAUGGAGCCGACCUUGAAAUACCACCCUUUAAUGUUUGAUGUUCUAACGUUGACCCGUAAUCCGGGUUGCGGACAGUGUCUGGUGGGUAGUUUGACUGGGGCGGUCUCCUCCUAAAGAGUAACGGAGGAGCACGAAGGUUGGCUAAUCCUGGUCGGACAUCAGGAGGUUAGUGCAAUGGCAUAAGCCAGCUUGACUGCGAGCGUGACGGCGCGAGCAGGUGCGAAAGCAGGUCAUAGUGAUCCGGUGGUUCUGAAUGGAAGGGCCAUCGCUCAACGGAUAAAAGGUACUCCGGGGAUAACAGGCUGAUACCGCCCAAGAGUUCAUAUCGACGGCGGUGUUUGGCACCUCGAUGUCGGCUCAUCACAUCCUGGGGCUGAAGUAGGUCCCAAGGGUAUGGCUGUUCGCCAUUUAAAGUGGUACGCGAGCUGGGUUUAGAACGUCGUGAGACAGUUCGGUCCCUAUCUGCCGUGGGCGCUGGAGAACUGAGGGGGGCUGCUCCUAGUACGAGAGGACCGGAGUGGACGCAUCACUGGUGUUCGGGUUGUCAUGCCAAUGGCACUGCCCGGUAGCUAAAUGCGGAAGAGAUAAGUGCUGAAAGCAUCUAAGCACGAAACUUGCC
rnacentral:rRNA from 1 species